UCAGAGACUUUAGUUCCACUACUAUGUUGUCGCUGUAGUCUACUAUUCAUGCCUGUUCCAGAGGGGAAAAGAAUCCCCCCAAGCUGUCCAAGAGGAGGAGUGGUUGCAGAAAGUGUAUGCUUCACAGAUGGAAGAAGACUACCUGAAGUAGUUAUCAAUUGUCCAAUAAUUGAAGUGAGAUCAGCCGUUAUGAGUUGCUGUUGCUGGGUUACAAGUUCUUCUGGCUGUCCUGGAACUUGACUCCUCCGGCCAACAAUCAAAUGCACCAAAU
rnacentral:misc_RNA from 1 species